GGAAGGUCGGCGCGGGCGGACAGUUCGCCAAUCCGGUCAGGGCCGAGAGGCAGCAGCCGUAACGAAAUUUGCCGGGUCGCGUUCGGCCUUCCACU
rnacentral:SRP_RNA from 1 species